rnacentral:rRNA from 1 species
UACAUGUGGGGCAAGCGUUGUUCGGAAUUACUGGGCAUAAAGGGUGCGUAGGCGGCUUGUUAAGUCAGGGGUGAAAGUUUUCGGCCCAACCGGAAAAUGGCCUUUGAUACUGGCGAGCUUGAGUGCGUGAGGGGUAACCGGAACGAGUCGUGUAGCGGUGAAAUGCGUAGAUAUCUGGAGGAACACCGGUGGCGAAGGCGGCAUCCUGGACCAUUACUGACACUGAGAAGCGAAAGCCAGGGGAGCAAACGGG